UAUGAUGUUUAUCUGUUGGAGAGAUGGGUGUGAUACAUUCAGACAAUGUGUAGUGAACAUUAUUGGAAAUAAACACUAAAUCUAAGAUUCUAUUUAAAUUGAGCUCAAAU